rnacentral:rRNA from 1 species
CCUACGGGAGGCAGCAGUGGGGAAUAUUGGGCAAUGGGCGAAAGCCUGACCCAGCGACGCCGCGUGGGGGAUGAAGGCCUUCGGGUCGUAAACCCCUGUCAGGAGGGACGAAGCCCUGAUCAUAUAUCAGGGUGACGGUACCUCCAGAGGAAGCCCCGGCUAACUACGUGCCAGCAGCCGCGGUAAAACGUAGGGGGCAAGCGUUGUCCGGAUUCACUGGGCGUAAAGGGUCCGUAGGCGGCCUGCUAAGUCGGACGGGAAAGACCCUGGCUUAACUGGGGAAUUGCGUCCGAAACUGGUGGGCUAGAGCCCAGGAGAGGAAAGUGAAAUUCCCGGUGUAGCGGUAAAAUGCGCAGAUAUCGGGAGGAACACCAGUGGCGAGGGCGGUCGCCGGGGGCGUUG